rnacentral:rRNA from 1 species
UGGGGGAUAUUGCACAAUGGGCGCAAGCCUGAUGCAGCGACGCCGCGUGGGGGAUGAAGGCCUUCGGGUUGUAAACUUCUUUUGCUCUGAACAAGGCGCACUUUGGGGUGUGUUGAGUGUAGGGGUUGAUUAGCGCCGGCUAACUACGUGCCAGCAGCCGCGGUAAUACGUAGGGCGCGAGCGUUGUCCGGAAUUAUUGGGCGUAAAGGGCUUGUAGGUGGCUGGUUGCGUCUGUCGUGAAAGCUCAUGGCUUAACUGUGGGUUUGCGGUGGGUACGGGCUGGCUUGAGUGCAGUAGGGGAGGCUGGAAUUCCUGGUGUAGCGGUGGAAUGCGCAGAUAUCAGGAGGAAUACCGGUGGUGAAGGCGGGUCUCUGGGCUGUUACUGACACUGAGGAGCGAAAGCAUGGGGAGCGAACAGG